GCCCGCUUUGGCACAGUGGUAGUGCAACUGCUUGCGACGCAGAAAGUUUCGGGUUCAAUUCUCGGUGGGUC